AGCUUUGUGCAUUGGCAGUAUCGUAGCCAAUGAGGUUUCUCUGAGGCGCAAUUAUUGCUAAUUGAAAACUUUUCCCAAUACCCGACCAUGACGACUUGAAAUACAGUCUGCAUUGGGAAUUUUUGACAGUCUCUAUGGGGA
ensembl:snRNA U4 U4 spliceosomal RNA